rnacentral:tRNA from 1 species
GGCCCUUGUAGUAUAUCUAAUACUUUGGUCUUGUAAACCAAUAAUGGAGACCCCACUCUCCCUAGGGCAA